CCUCCUUUCUAAGGAAAUUUCUUAAUGAAAAUAAAUCUUCGUGAUUUAUGAUCUUUUGAAAUUCUUGGAACAUAAUGUCAGAUUUAUCUGACAAAACAUUGCUGGAUUGUCGCCAUCUUCGUUUCUCUUUCUCAGGAUUAAGUUAUACCCUAAUCGGAAUAGCGGGCCUGUAGCUCAGCUUGGUUAGAGCGCACGCCUGAUAAGCGUGAGGUCGGUAGUUCAAGUCUACCCAGGCCCACCAUAUCUUAAUCUUUUGAAUCAUAGAUUCGGAAAGAGUCUGUUCAUUAACAUUGUAAAGAGAAAUAUUUUGAUCAUAUCAUAUACAUGCAUAUUAUUUGUAUUAUGAGUGGUGCCUGCACGGGCACAGUUAGUUCUUUAACUUUCAAAGUAUAAGUAGAAUAGAUUAUAAAUUUUAUAAUCAAAAUGGUCUUUUUGUGAUAUUUAUUAAAUCCUUACAACCGAUUUAAUGGAUGUCAAAAAAGUGAAUAACCGUUGUAAUAUGUAUCAAUUCAGUACGUA
rnacentral:misc_RNA from 1 species